GAGAUCAUGGGAUAUAGAACGAAGUGAUUGCAAUGACAGAAGCUCACUGGUAAGGAAAAGCUGUGUUGAAGAGGAGCUUUGGAAGUGGCAUUUUACCUAAGAGGCAUACUACUGUCCACCAUCCUAACUUGGUAACUAUUUGGAUCCAUAUUGAAGAGGGGACAGGACACUUCCAAGUUAAAAAAUAUCCAUUAGCCACAUGUUCUUUUACAUUCCACUGAUAAAAGAAGCUAAAAAGAAUAUUUGGAAUUUUUUAAAAGAGGAAAGCUUUUUGUUUAGCAUCUAAAGGCCAAAUAAAAAAAAAAUGAUAUUGUCCAGUUACAAUUCAGGUUGACUUGGUCUUUCUCUUGGGCAACAUAUUAUUAUGGUGAGCUUGUUUCACAUCUCGUCCUAACCAACAUGGUGCAGUAAAGUUUACAGGAAGUUACACGAAGCAAGUGAAGAUACAGGAGACUUACAGCAAACCAGAAGAAAACCGACAGAGGACCAUACACCAACAGUUACCCACUUUCUCUUGCUCUCUCCAAAACAGACUUUAUUUGCUGGAUGAAUGUGAUGACAUGCAACUCGCCCAGCUUUCACAAGACCCUGUCUACCGUCCAUAUUCCUUGCCCACUCUCCAUCCUCAGAUGACGAUACCCCAAUCGGCUGAUUUCCUAUUGCUCAAUACAAUAACUAGAAAUCAUGGAUUGAGGAUCAUGCCAGGAUCAGAAGAUGAAAGACAAAGAAAACCUGAAAAGAGGAAGAAUACAAAAUUUGCUGGCAGCUAGAAGCAGACCACUACAGUACUUUCUGCAAAUGCUAGCAGCCCCUGUACAGGAAGCCCCAACGUGCCUCCUUUGACACCUGCAGCUCCGAUCUCGGCACCAGAGGGUGCAGUGACCCCAUUAGUACCCCUCCACAGAAAGCAGUCACCCUGAACCCAGCUCCCUUCGUCCAGAUGCAACUUUUAAAUUUUUCAGGAAUGAUGACAUCGAUAGGAUGAUUAUUCAGUCAUGGUGGAUCUGCCCAAGUUGCCCAUAGAGAAACAAUUAAUCCAGAUGAGGAUGUGUCUUGCAUUGGAGAGACAAAGGAUCCUCGGGCACACCCUAGACAUAUCCCCAGACAUCAGAUACUAGACAUACCCACAGACACCGGAUAAAGUGUUGACAAAGUUUUGGAUGCCCUUCAAGAACAAAACUAACAGCCUUGGCAAUGAGAAACUACGUUGUAGCGAGCUGCUCAACUGCAAACAGUUAGAGAAAGUGUCUUUUUGAGAAUUUUACAUAAGACUCAAGAACAUUGCAGAAGAAGCAGACAUAUGUUCCAUUACACCUUCAGUUUGUGAGCAAACCCGGAUGAAAGAUGAUCAUCCUUAUGGGAGUAGGGGAAGAACUGACUUUGAAACUUAUAUCCCCUACACCAACGCCUGAGAAACUCAUAGCCCCUAACACCAAUGUCUCUACGGGAUAUUGUCAACAAGUGUCGCACCUAUGAGGCCACCAGGAAGGCCACUUCUGCAAUAUGUGCUGUGCCUUCUCAAACUACAAGACACGGAACAUGGAGGGUGCUAUCCCUACCACACCAUUACAGUGUGUUUCAUGGCAAUCGUGCAACCACAUGGAUCCCAAGAGAAAUGUCCAGCAGCAGACAGCACUUGCUGCAACUGUGCCCAAAAGGGGCAUUGGGCCAAGAUGGACAAGGGAUGCCAAACAGGGUACCACUUCCAGUGCCGAGCCUACACCACUCUCUCCGGGCAAGAACCCCAACUGUUGUUGAAUGGGAAGAUGCUUUUUAAUCAAGGCACUGCAGCCAAUCAAAGUUUCCCUCUCAUAUGGUGACAUCACAUCCAGGAUUCAGAUGUUGCUAGACACAGGUGCCCACUUCUCUGUUAAGGGCCCUCAGCAUCCUGACCUGCGCAUUCCUAGGAGUGCACUACAACCCCCACUAAUUACCCCAAUGUUCACCGCAGAUGGCUCUAUGAUGACACCUGCCGUAGAAUCCUUCACAGCCACUCUUAUCUUAACUAAGAGAUCCUGUUCAGCAAGCAUCCAAGUCCAUGAAUGUGUCAAACACCACUGCUGUAACAUAGCUACUGCAAAGAGUUGGCCAUUAUUCCACUAGAGUUUCCCAGACCUAUUCUGGAUGUUCCCCAUGUCAAUAGGUGUUCAGAGCUGCCUCUUCAUGCCAUCACAUUGCCUGCAGAACCCAACAUCGCAGAGGUCCAAUGGGAUUUGCAGCUAGAGGAGACGCCUACUGCCUUAAUGAGACAAUGCUCUAUAAGGUGUCGAAAAUUGUGUUAAAGUAGUAGACAACAUCCUGCUGUUCGAUGAGGAUUUCCCCGGUAUCAUACUUAACAAGAACAAGUUUGUGGUUGCCACCGUCAGCGUUACCUUCUGCAGAGUUUGGAUCUCCAAAGGCAGCAUUUCCUUGGACCCCAACAAAGCAACAAUCAAAGACUUUCCUUCACUGAUGAACUUGACAGAUCUUUGUUCAUUCAUGGGUUAGUGAACCUAGUGGCCAAUUUUAUGCCUGGGAUAGCCCCAAGCACGCAUUUGCAUGGACCACAGAUCAGGACAGAGCAUUUCACACAGUGAAGAUUACCUUAACUAGCCCACCAGCCCUUGCCUCCUUUGAUCCAGCCUUCUCAGUUACCCUACAGACCAAAGCUUCUCGAUGUGGAGUAGGAUAUGCCCUUCUAUGGGACCACAGCAAUGUUAGACUUUGCUUAGUACAGUGUGGCUCUCAUUUCCUUGCAGACGCAGACUCGCUACGCCACAAUCAAGUUGGAGAUUUUAGCUGUAACCUGGACUAAGUACAAAAGCAAACUGUAUCUGAUAGGCCUCCAAUAUUUCACACUGAUCACAGACCAUCACCCACUGGUGCCAAUUCUCAACCAUUACACUGGAUGCGGUUGAGAAGCCUCGUUUGCAGUGUAUCUAAGAUAAAACCUCACUAUAUCUGUUCGCUGCCAUGUGGCAUGCUGGCAAGCAGCUCAGCAUACCUGACACCCUGUAGUAUGUCCCCAUCAGCCAGCCCACACCACAGGUCAAAACAGACUGGUUGGGUCAUACAUCAGGACCCUAUCUGUCUUUGAGACUGCAUGUUCUCAGGAUUUCCUGCCAAUCAUUACAACUUAAUAAUUCAUUGCCCCCAUUCUGAAAAUUAUGAGAAAGCCUCUCAGUCGAUGCUGAACUCGUGCUUUAUGGAGUAAGGAUUGUAGUACCUGCUGCUGCGCUCUAUUACAACUCCAUGACAGUCACGGAGGAAUAGAAGCCACAAAGGGACAUGCACGACAGACUGUUUACUGGCUAGGAAUUGACUGACAUUGCUAAUACUGUCAAAGCAUAUGAGCUUUGCCAGGCCUUAAAACCUAGCCUCCAGGAACCUCUUCAAAAUGGCAACCAUCCUACUAGACCCUUCGAGUCUGUGUCUGUGGACUUCUUCAAUGUUGCAGGGAAGUCAUUCCUUCUCGUGAAUGGCAGGCUUUCUGGAUGUGGUUUCCAGACUAAUGGUGGACCUCAAUUCACCAGCCAUGAAUUCAGCGAUUUCAUGGAGCAAUAAGUAGUACAUCAUUUCGUUACUUCCCUGCACUACCUGCAGUCCAGUGCCCAUGGCAAGGCCACUGUGAAGCAUCUUGUACUCAAGACAGCACCCUCUGGUAAUACUAACUGCCAAGACUUUGACCAUCAUGAGCCAUGCCAGGUCAAGGGACUAUGAAGUACAUCUCCCCUGGCGCUGCUUCUACCUCACAUCCCUCUGGACCUUCUUAUGGACACAAAAAGAGUCCUCAAACAGCCUUCCUACAGCCCACAUUUUCCAGAUGAAGAACCCGCUAUGAGCAUGAAGGCGGGGAGGGAGGUGUAGAUAGGUGUACGUACUGUAAUAUAGUAAUAUGUAAUAGCGUUUGUCAUUGUAUAAUAUAUUCUUGCCUUGUAUAUUGGGAAGUGGUAACUAGACACAUUCAAAUCCAAUCCCUAACACAGUACACCAGUUACCCCUCUACGAGUUUUGGUCACAUACAUUGUCUUUAUUGCAUCAUAACCUACCUUAAUAAAGAACCUACAUUUAGAUGAGUUUG